AUUGAACGCUGGCGGCAUGCUUUACACAUGCAAGUCGAACGGUAACAGGUUAAGCUGACGAGUGGCGAACGGGUGAGUAAUGCAUCGGAACGUGCCCGCGCGUGGGGGAUAACACUGCGAAAGAAGUGCUAAUACCGCAUACGAACUGAGGAUGAAAGCGGGGGACCAUAAGGCCUCGCGCGAUCGGAGCGGCCGAUGUCAGAUUAGGUAGUUGGUGGGGUAAAGGCUCACCAAGCCGACGAUCUGUAGCUGGUCUGAGAGGACGACCAGCCACACUGGGACUGAGACACGGCCCAGACUCCUACGGGAGGCAGCAGUGGGGAAUUUUGGACAAUGGGCGCAAGCCUGAUCCAGCAAUGCCGCGUGCAGGAAGAAGGCCUUCGGGUUGUAAACUGCUUUUGUACGGAGCGAAAAGGCUCCCUCUAAUACAGGGGGCUUAUGACGGUACCGUAAGAAUAAGCACCGGCUAACUACGUGCCAGCCGCCGCAGUAAGAC
rnacentral:rRNA from 1 species